rnacentral:rRNA from 1 species
UACGGAGGGUGCAAACGUUGCUCGGAAUCAUUGGGCGUAAAGCGCGCGUAGGCGGUCCAGCAAGUCGGGUGUGAAAGCCCUCGGCUUAACCGAGGAAGUGCAUUCGAAACUACUGGACUUGAGUACUGAAGAGGAUCGCGGAAUUCCCCGGUGUAGAGGUGAAAUUCGUAGAUAUCGGGAGGAACACCCAGUGGCGAAGGCGGCGAUCUGGGCAGAUACUGACGCUGAGGUGCGAAAGCGUGGGGAGCAAACAGG